GCACUUGAUCUGGAUCAGUGCAGAGACCGCUGCCGAUCCAGGCCCAUGGCCCAGUUGAUACAGAUCAAUAUUCACAUCCCCGCCGCCGGUAAUCUGAACCCAUCUUCAAAGAGCAGAUGAGCAACAGAGGGCCGGUACCAUGUUCAUUGACGAAGUGGUUCUCGCAGGUGUCAUCACCGUAGGUCUGAUGAUCGUCUUCUGCGGCGGGGUUGGAUAUUUCAUCUGGAAGGAUUCGCAUCGGCACUGACCGGUAAUCCUCCCGGAUACACAGAGCACGCAAGGCACUUCGGGCGACUUAAGGUCGCCCGUU
rnacentral:misc_RNA from 1 species